rnacentral:rRNA from 1 species
UACGGAGGGUGCAAACGUUGCUCGGAAUCAUUGGGCGUAAAGCGCGCGUAGGCGGCCUCGCAAGUCGGGUGUGAAAGCCCUCGGCUUAACCGAGGAAGUGCAUUCGAAACUACGGGGCUUGAGUACCGGAGAGGGUCGCGGAAUUCCCGGUGUAGAGGUGAAAUUCGUAGAUAUCGGGAGGAACACCAGUGGCGAAGGCGGCGACCUGGACGGAUACUGACGCUGAUGCGCGAAAGCGUGGGGAGCAAACAGG